rnacentral:sRNA from 1 species
UUUAGCCAGAAGAUUCAGAAAUACGUAACAAUAUGAUGCUGUCUACUCUCUGUUUAAUAAGAAAUCCCAGCUGUUUUCUCUAAGCAGUAAUAAUGCACUGCUAUAUAGUUUAUACAAGAGGCUUCUGUUAUUACAAGUAUGAAAAAGGAGGAUAGUGGGACCAAAAUCAUCCUCAGACAGCAGCUUUUUGCCUUACCUGAAAAGGUACAUGAUGUGGUCCCAGAGACAUACAAGAACAUUAAGACCAAACUCCCCAUUGUCCAGCGGAGCUUGUCCCUUUACCUGGCCAAUAAAGACAUAGAAGCCAUCUUGUUUAGACCUAUCUAAGUGAAUGUCCAGCAGACUUUCCAGAAAUUCCAUGACCUUAUUACUCAGGAGUACUCAGAGGAAGAUAUACUUAUCAUUGCUUGUCCUAGCACAGAGCAGGUGAAUCUUCUAGUAUCAUCAAGGAUGUCAUCCACACCAAAGAGAUAAUUCACCUAGAGAAGUGUGGCAUUUGUCAUGACGACAUAUUCUGAUGUCCAUAUGAAGGGCCUGGUUAAGGUGUUCAAGAAGUACAAGAUGUUCCAUCAGAUUUUGAAGAUAAUUACAUCAUAGCCCAAACCUUCUGUGGGUAGCGUCCAAAGCCUGUGACCAUCAAGGCCCUGAGCACAUACCACACAACCAGGCAGCCAUCACCAGUAUUUAAAUAGACCUUAUUGUGUAGGUGGCUGCACCACAAUGCCAGUGUAGUUAUAGCAUCAUAAUAAUUGACACUUCACAAGCUGUAUAUCCCUUGCCUAGUUCACACCAGACAAUACAUUCUAGUAAAUACAAUGCUUAAAGUUGUAUGUACAUAGUCUUUAAAGAAUUAUUUUGUUUAAUUUUAUAAGCUGAAUUAGAAUAUAUCGGAAGUUUUCUUAGUGUGUUUGUAUUUUGAAUAUUUCUUAUAUUUUGAUAAAUGGGCCUAAAUUAAAUUGUUAAAGGAUUUUUGCUGAAUUUUUUUUAUUAUAAAAAUUAUUAUUUAUUUUUGUUGUUACAAAAAUGUCCUUUGUAAGUAAUUAGACAAACAGUAAUAUGAAUAAGGUGUAUUAAAGGUGUUUAUACUGGUGUGCAAUUUAUUAUUUCUAUAUUUGCCCAGAUUUUAUUUAUUAUUUGUAAGAUUGAAACUAAACACAAAAUAAUUUUGUAAUAAAGAAAACAUCUAUAGGGUAUUUGUUAUGUUUUAAAUAUAUUCAGUGGAGCAAAUGAUUUUUUGGCCAAAGUAUUCAGUGAAUGGUUUGUUGGAGGUGAAGCAAAGACAUUUUUUUUUUUUAAUUUGAAGUGAAAGGUUAUGACAAAUUUGCAUAGAACUGAUAUUCAUCUGUCUGUAGGCUUAGGAUGGGACAUUUUGCUAACCAUCAAUGACCUUGUGAUGAUACUGUGCAACCUUUUCUUACAAUGGUGAGGGGGUCAUCAAGCAGUAGCUUUGGAGGCCUCUUGUCUCUUUUUGACUUUCACUGUCCUAUUCUGAAUUGAAAGUUCAGGUAGAUCAUUGCAAUUCUUUUUUCCCAGUAAACUUUUGUUAUAAUUAAAUACAAUUUUAUCUAACCAUUCAAAUGAGGAUUAUGGACUAGGUUUUGAUUUUUUAAUUUCUAAAUGUUACCCUUUGUUUGUAAGCAGUCACAAUUUAUUUUCUGUGACUCUUUUUCCUUCACAUUCAAGGGGAAAUGAACAAACAAGAUGCUGGCUUUUUUUUUUCUUCAGCUUAUCCAAACUAGAGACAUCUAUAUAAUAAUAUUGUAAAUUAUAUCAAAUUAUUAAUUAUUUUUUUUGUUCAUUUGUAAGUCAGGAGGUUUGUAUGUUGACUAAGAAUAAUGAUAAUAAUUUUUGUUACAAUGUCAUCCACAAAGUUUUACAAGAAGAUGGAGAGUGUGAUGCUGUUUUUUUUUAUCUAAUACAAUUCUAUGAUGCCAAACAUAAAAUAUAAAAAAAAUAUAAGGUAGAAACCUUUCUCCUUUGUAAUCUGAUAAUUGACUCUUACCAAGGAUUUUUAAAUAUUAUUAUUUCAGCAUUUCUCAAGCUCUCCUACUGCUGCUUUUUCAUCCCAUAUCCCCCUGGAUGUCUUGAUGGGACAUCACUUAUACAACUAAACACCAUCUGUCUCUGUCCAUAGCUCUAUUCAAUGAGUCUCUAUGCCACCUCUUUUUAUGCCAUCUUACCCUCUUCUUCUAAGCACUGUUUACCAUUGCAGGAAUUUCUUUUCCUCUAAAAUUCUUGUUUAUGCUUGAUUUGUGCUUAACUUCUUAAAGCUUUUUUAACUUAAUUUAUUUUGGGUAUUUAAAAUGUUUCUAUUCCUAGUUGUGUGAGUGUCUCUGUGUAAGUGUAAAAAAAAAAAUGAAAUGCUUGAGUUCUGCAUGUUCACUUCAUUAGUAUCAUUUCAUAUGCCAUCACUGGAAUGUAUAGUCUGGUUUAUCUGAAUGAUUUAUGUUUUAUU